CCUACCGAGGGGCGCUGCAGGAGAUCUCUCCCAGGCUCGGUUUAAAACGGCGCUCACUGAUC
rfam:Azonexus hydrophilus strain ZS02 NODE_1_length_907935_cov_52.7657_ID_540, whole genome shotgun sequence.